CAAAUAGCUAGCUGCAUCUACGGAGGGAUUGUUUGCAAGAUUCAGCCAGCAGCUUGGGUAGUAACUCUGAUUUCUUUCCCCUUUUGCUGGCAUAACUGAUGACCCGUGAAGGUUAAGGCUAAAACAAGCUGUAAUAGGUGUGCUUUAAGUGGCAUGUGUUCAUAUUGUGAGAUUAGUUGAAGCCCAACGAUGACCAAUGGGACAAGGUGAAGAUUUAUCUACAUUGAAGCAUUCACAUGGAUGAGGGGCCAUGAUUGUCCUGAGGUUGCUUUUAAACCACUACCGAGCUGCCUUACAUGGAAAGAGAAAACAUUUCUCCAACCUUUUUCCUAUUGUUACCUCAUCUUGCAAAUUUCUUAUCUCUAACUUGAAAUACAAG